GAUGAAGAACGCAGCGAAAUGCGAUAAGUAAUGUGAAUUGCAGAAUUCAGUGAAUCAUCGAAUCUUUGAACGCCCAUUGCGCCCGCCAGUAUUCUGGCGGGCAUGCCUGUUCGAGCGUCAUUUCAACCAUCAAGCCCCCGGCUUGUGUUGGGGACCUGCGGCUGCCGCAGGCCCUGAAAAGCAGUGGCGGGCUCGCUGUCACACCGAGCGUAGUAGCAUACAUCUCGCUCUGGGCGUGCUGCGGGUUCCGGCCGUUAAACCACCUUCAUAACCCAAGGUUGACCUCGGAUCAGGUAGGAAGACCCGCUGAACUUAAGCAUAUCAAUAAGCGGAGGA
rnacentral:misc_RNA from 1 species